AAGGAUUCCCUCAGUACGGGCGACGGAAGCGGGAAAAGCCCACACUGGUAAUCUCCAGGCGCAAGCUUGGCGAAUUGUAAUCUGAAGGCGGACAGCCUAACUAGGAGCGACGCAGAAGUGUUCUCGAGCGAACCGCCAAAGAGGGUGAAAGCCCCGUCUGUGGUGUCACUCCUAACCUGGCUUUCCAUCAAAGAGUCGUGUACUUUGAUACUAGUGCACAAAGCGGGAGAUAGACUUCUUCUAAGGCUAAAUAUAUGUAGGAAACCGAUAGCGAACAAGUACUGUGAAGGAAAGAUGAAAAGCACUUUGAAAAGAGAGUUAAAAGACUUGAAAUCGUUGAGGCGGAAGCGGUAGAAAAGUAUUCUAUCUGACGUCCUGCGAACAGUGCCAAAGCUUCGGCGGAAGCGCUGGGGUUGGACGGAAGGAUGAGACAAGAUGGGGUCGCGCGGUGCCAAAAUGGUAGGGCAGUAGGAUGCUUGCAUCAGCUGACUUAUUUCCGGUGUCGCGUGGCUCGAGGGGCUUUGUGCGAUCUUGUCAAAAUGGUUUUUACCGACUCGUCUUGAAACACGAACCAAGGAGUCUAAGACUAACGCGAGUGUGGUGGUGGAAAAACCAACACGCGAAAUGAAAGUGAAUGAUGCCAAGGCAACAGCAACAUCGACCGACCAUGACCCACUGGGGARAGGUUUGAGUGAGAGCGUUAUUCUUAGGACCCGAAAGAUGGUGAAACUAU
rnacentral:rRNA from 1 species